UGGGGAAUUUUGGACAAUGGGCGAAAGCCUGAUCCAGCAAUGCCGCGUGUGUGAAGAAGGCCUUCGGGUUGUAAAGCACUUUUGUCCGGAAAGAAAUCCUUGGCUCUAAUACAGUCGGGGGAUGACGGUACCGGAAGAAUAAGCACCGGCUAACUACGUGCCAGCAGCCGCGGUAAUACGUAGGGUGCAAGCGUUAAUCGGAAUUACUGGGCGUAAAGCGUGCGCAGGCGGUUUGCUAAGACCGAUGUGAAAUCCCCGGGCUCAACCUGGGAACUGCAUUGGUGACUGGCAGGCUAGAGUAUGGCAGAGGGGGGUAGAAUUCCACGUGUAGCAGUGAAAUGCGUAGAGAUGUGGAGGAAUACCGAUGGCGAAGGCAGCCCCCUGGGCCAAUACUGACGCUCAUGCACGAAAGCGUGGGGAGCAAACAGGAUUAGUACCCUGGUAGUCCACGCCCUAAACGAUGUCAACUAGUUGUUGGGGAUUCAUUUCCUUAGUAACGUAGCUAACGUGUGAAGUUGACCGCCUGGGGAGUACGGUCGCAAGAUUAAAACUCAAAUGAAUUGAC
rnacentral:rRNA from 1 species